CUCUGUGGCGUCCCCGCCCCUCCUACCGUCUUGCCUCUGGCGUCUUGCGUAAUGACGUCACCACUUGCCCCGCUCAGAAGCCUGGGAGUCCUCUGGCCUCCUUCUUUCUCGCUGCCCCCCACACCCCCACUCCCCCUCCACCCCCCCGCCUUGGCAGUCGGCCGUUCCAGCCUCCAUGCCCUCCCCUGGAUUCCCCCUCCCACCCCCUGGUUACGACCUGGGCCAUCUUUAACUGGAUGACUGUGCUGUCCCACCCAUCCUUGGGUCUCCCGGCUAGGAUAUGUCCAAUCCAACCCACCCGCUGCGCUGGCUCCUGAGAGCUCUCAUAAAAUCAAACUCUGCUCAUGCAGCGUCCACCUAAAGGCCCCCAGUAGCUGCCAUUUCCUCGGACCCAAACUCUUCACAGCUGCAGCCAAACUUCCAGAAGCACCUGACUCGCUCGCACAGAUCCUUCCGUCUGGCCAAACCGGAAGUUGUUUUUUCUCCCCUAGGCCAGAGCCUCUGAGUCCCUUGGGCCUUGGCUCCAGCUGUGCGCUCCCCGCCCUGCCUAGACUAUCCAGUGCCCGCCUGGUGCUCUGCAUCCAGAAGGCCCUGGGUGGUGAGCUGCCCUGCUCCCCCUGCACCCAGGCCGGGGCUGGAUUUUGGCUGAGGAAGAUGGAGCCUGGGGUGACCGUCCCUCAGGAUCUCUGA
rnacentral:lncRNA from 1 species